UCUCCUCCUUCAACGAGCUUCUAUAAUUUGGAUUUGAUAUGAAGAUUGCCGCUCAUAUCAUCGCCAUCAUUCAUCUCUGUGCCAUUGCAAGCGACACCGUUUUCAAUCUGGCUCAUCUCCUCGCCGUGGCAAGCAAUGCCGUUGUUGCUGCCUUUAGCAAGCUUCUACAGUUUGGUUUCGCAAUCUCUAUCACUUCUAAUAGAGGUAUAUAAAAGAUCAUAAAGGUGUUUGAACAAAUUUUCUUCUGGAUUGGAGGCUUUUGACCCUCAGAAAUUCUAAAGGUGAUGCUUACUAUCUAGUUAAAUAAAAGAUGUUGAGAAAGCUUCCUCAUUGUGAAUGAGAGCACCAGCUUUGCAUGUAAAUGGUGAUAUGAUUCAUUAUUAAUAA